AGGCUACACCCGAGUUUGAACCGGGGACCUCUCUAUCUGCAGUGGAAUGCUCACCACUGAGUUAUGGC
rnacentral:tRNA from 1 species